UUCGCAAUGCCCGAAAGGGUGACGAAGCGACGCCGCGUGAGCGAAGAAGGCCUUAGGGUUGUAAAGCUCUGUCGAGGGUUAUGAAAUGUAAACAGGUUAAUACCCUGUUUGUUUGACAAAAGCCCAAGAGGAAGUCACGGCUAACUCUGUGCCAGCAGCCGCGGUAAUACAGAGGUGGCAAGCGUUGUUCGGUAUUAUUGGGCGUAAAGAGCACGUAGGUGGUUUUAUAAGUCAGGUGUGAAAGCCUUCUGUUCAAAGGAAGAACGGCAUCUGAAACUGUAGAUCUUGAGUGUAGGAGGGGAGAGUGGAACUUCUGGUGGAGCGGUGAAAUGCGUAGAUAUCAGAAGGAACGUCGGCGGCGAAAGCGACUCUCUGGCCUAUUACUGACACUGAGGUGCGAAAGUUAGGGGAGCAAACGGGAUUAGAUACCCCGGUAGUCCUAACCGUAAACGAUGGGCACUAAGUAGAGGGGUUUU
rnacentral:rRNA from 1 species